rnacentral:tRNA from 1 species
GGCCUGGUGGUCUAGUAGUAUGAUUCCUUGUUAGGGACGAGUGCCGUUUCGAGGAGGUCCUGGGUUCAAUUCCCAGCCAGGCCC